rnacentral:rRNA from 1 species
CCUACGGGAGGCAGCAGUGAGGAAUAUUGGACAAUGGGCGCAAGCCUGAUCCAGCCAUGCCGCGUGCAGGAAGAAGCAUCUAUGGUGUGUAAACUGCUUUUGUACAGGAAGAAACACUCCCUCGUGAGGGAGCUUGACGGUACUGUAAGAAUAAGGACCGGCUAACUCCGUGCCAGCAGCCGCGGUAAUACGGAGGGUCCGAGCGUUAUCCGGAAUCAUUGGGUUUAAAGGGUCCGUAGGCGGUUUAAUAAGUCAGUGGUGAAAUCUGGUCGCUCAACGAUCAAACGGCCAUUGAUACUGUUAGACUUGAACUAUAAGGAAGUAACUAGAAUAUGUAGUGUAGCGGUGAAAUGCUUAGAUAUUACAUGGAAUACCAAUUGCGAAGGCAGGUUACUACUUACGGAUUGACGCUGAUGGACGAAAGCGUGGGGAGCGAACAGGAUUAGAUACCCUGGUAGUCCACGCCGUAAACGAUGGAUACUAGCUGUUCGGAGCAAUCUGAGUGNGUAGAGAAGUAGAGUAAGUAGUACCACCGUCGGGAGGUACGGUUCGUCGAAGAAGUUAGUAAACGUUACAAAUAAGAAGUUAGACGGCGUUGAGACGAGCCGACGGACGACGACGAGGGAGGAGG